GACGAACGCUGGCGGCGUGCCUAACACAUGCAAGUUGAGCGACGAACCAGGGCUUGCCCUGGGGCAAAGCAGCGAACGGGUGAGUAACACGUGGGUAACCUACCCCGAUAACCGGGACAACCCGAGGAAACUCGGGCUAAUACCGGAUGUGCUCACUGGACUUCGGUUCAGUGCGUAAAGGAAGCUUCGGCCCCCGUAUCGGGAGGGGCCCGCGGCCCAUUAGUUUGUUGGUGAGGUAACGGCUCACCAAGACCGCGAUGGGUAGCUGGUCUGAGAGGACGAUCAGCCACACUGGGACUGAGACACGGCCCAGACUCCUACGGGAGGCAGCAGUGGGGAAUCUUGCGCAAUGCGCGAAAGCGUGACGCAGCAACGCCGCGUGGGGGAAGAAGGCCUUCGGGUUGUAAACCCCUUUCAGGAGGGACGAAGGUUCGGCGGUGAAUAGCCGUCCGGACUGACGGUACCUCCACAAGAAGCCCCGGCUAACUACGUG
rnacentral:rRNA from 1 species